rnacentral:rRNA from 1 species
UUACUUAAGCAUAUCAAUAAGCGGAGGAAAAGAAACUAACAAGGAUUCCCCUAGUAACUGCGAGUGAAGCGGGAAAAGCUCAAAUUUAAAAUCUGGCAGUCUUUUGGCUGUCCGAGUUGUAAUCUAGAGAAGUGUUAUCCGCGCUGGACCGUGUACAAGUCUCCUGGAAUGGAGCAUCAUAGAGGGUGAGAAUCCCGUCUUUGACAUGGACUGCCAGGGCUUUGUGAUGCGCUCUCAAAGAGUCGAGUUGUUUGGGAAUGCAGCUCAAAAUGGGUGGUAAAUUCCAUCUAAAGCUAAAUAUUGGCGAGAGACCGAUAGCGAACAAGUACCGUGAGGGAAAGAUGAAAAGAACUUUGGAAAGAGAGUUAAACAGUACGUGAAAUUGCUGAAAGGGAAACGCUUGAAGUCAGUCGCGUUGUCCAGGGAUCAACCUUGCUUUUGCUUGGUGCAUUUUCUGGUUUGACGGGUCAGCAUCAAUUUUGACCUAUUGGAAAAAGAUUGAGGGAAUGUGGCAUCCUUGGAUGUGUUAUAGCCCUUGGUCACAUACAAUGGUUGGGAUUGAGGAACUCAGCACGCCGCAAGGCCGGGUGUCAACACCACGUACGUGCUUAGGAUGCUGGCAAUAUGGCUUUAAUCGACCCGUCUUGAAACACGGACCAAGGAGUCUAACAUGCCUGCGAGUGUUUGGGUGUAAAACCCGAGCGCGUAAUGAAAGUGAAAAGUUGAGAUCCCUGUCGUGGGGAGCAUCGACGCCCGGACCAGACCUUUUGUGACGGUUCCGCGGUAGAGCAUGUAUGUUGGGACCCGAAAGAUGGUGAACUAUGCCUGAAUAGGGUGAAUCCAGAGGAAACUCUGGUGGAGGCUCGUAGCGAUUCUGACGUGCAAAUCGAUCGUCAAAUUUGGGUAUAGGGGCGAAAGACUAAUCGAACCAUCUAGUAGCUGGUUCCUGCCGAAGUUUCCCUCAGGAA